AAACGAACAAAAUUUUCUGCCCCAGUUUCACUAGGGAAAUUUCGUGAGUUAUUUGCCAGGAAGUUCAUAGAAUUGAUGAAGGAAUUGGAUCGACGAUAUUGCCACAAGGUAAGAAUACUCAGUUUAGGGUUGGAGCCCUAAGGCUGGCGGAAUGGAAAUAGUUCAGUUCAGGGUUGGAGCCCUAAUGCUGACUAGCUGGGGAGAAGCUCAGUUUAGAGUUGAAACCCUAAUGCUGACCAACUGGGGAAAAGUUCAGUUUAGGGUUGGGGCCCUAAUGCUGAUUAAGGAAAAGUUCAGUUUAGGGUUUAAAACCCUAAUGCUGACUAAAGGAAAAGAGUUCAGUUUAGGGUUUAAAACCCUAAUGCUGACUAAAGGAAAAGAGUUCAGUUUAGGGUUUAAAACCCUAAUGCUGACUGAAGGAAAAGAGUUCAGUUUAGGGUUUAAAACCCUAAUGCUGACUAAAGGAAAGAGUUAAGAUUAGGGUUUAAAACCAUAAUGUUGACUGAAGAAAAGAGUUCAGUUUAGGGUUUAAAACCCUAAUGCUGACUGAAGGGAAAAAGUUCAGUUUAGGGUUUAAAACCCUAAUGCUGACUAAAUGGAAAAAGUUCAGUAUAGGGGUUUUUAAAAACCCCUAAUGCUGACUGAAUGGGGAAAAAAGUUUAGUUUAGGGUUUAAAACCCUAAUGCUGACUAAAGGAAAAAAGUUCAGUUUAGGGUUUAAAACCCUAAUGCUGACUAAAGGGAAAAAGUUCAGUUUAGGGUUUAAAACCCUAAUGCUGACUGAAGGAAAAGUUCAGUUUAGGGUUUAAAACCCUAAUGCUGACUGAAAGGAAAGAGUUCAGUUUAGGGUUUAAAACCCUAAUGCUGAUUGCAUGGAAAAGCUCAGUUUAGGGUUUAAAAACCUAACGCUGGCUAAAUGGAAAAAUGUUCAGUUUAGGGUUUAAAACCCUAAUGCUGAUUGCAUGGAAAAGCUCAGUUUAGGGUUUAAAGCCCUAAUGCUGGCUGAAUGGAAAAAAGUUCAGUUUAAGGUUUAAAACCCUAUUGCUGAUUGCAUGGAAAA
rnacentral:lncRNA from 1 species